ensembl:snRNA U4 U4 spliceosomal RNA
CGAGGCGCGAUUAUUGCUAAUUGAAAACUUUACCCAAUACCCCGCUGUGACGACUUGAAAUAUAGUCAGCGCUGGCAAUUUUUGACAGUCUUUACAGAGA